UGAGAGGGAAAACACGAUGAAGUCCAAGAACCGACUGCAGCGUGUGGCAGGACGGCGGUCAUUGCUGCUGGUCUAAAUGAAAGUUGCUUUGUAGCAAUGCUGGAGAUGCGACCCUAAGUAGAGUGAGCUGAAGGACAUAGACACAAGCAAGGAGAACGGAGAGUUUUAGACAAUUGUUUCCAGGAGUACGGCUUUAAAGGCAGAGAAAAAGAUACGCUGGUAGAUGGUGUGUGGAAGACAUAUUGUCAAGGGACUGCUUUUUCUUUGUUUGUUUUAUUGUUUCUUUUGGGAUGGCUGAUAGCAGGCAUGCAUGUGCGUACAGCAAAGAGAGUAACCCAGAAUUGAGGAAGAAAUUGAUGCUGUGGGACAGAGGGAAUAAUUGCCAAAGCAAAGAUCUUGAGCUGCUGAGAAGAAAGGAUGACCCUAAUUUCCUUAAUGAUGCACAACAGCCAUAUAGCCAGGUCGACAGGAGUUGACCGACCUGCAUCAAACACUGCCUGCUAGUCUCCCUCACACAAAACGAAGUAAAAGAGAAGAAUUCGAAGAAAGCGAUACCCCUGCAGCCACACUGGGUGCAAGCUUUGAGAAUCCUGGAGCUUUGUACAUGAGUGAACCAGAGAGAACCUGUGGUGUGCCGGGAAAACCCAUAGGCCCUGCAGAGACAUAGUGUUGAUUUUGAGUCGAGGUUCUCUCUGAGAUACUUCAUCUGUAAAAUGAGGAAUGAUACAAGUUCCCUUCCAGGGAUGUCAUGGAAUUACACAAGAGUUAUUUAAGCAUAACACUCAUGCAUGGUAGGUAAUGAAUGCUGCUAUCAUUACAUCAUUUCAGAUCCUCGUGUAGAAAAUUCAAGACAUGUCUCCUGAUUGAGAUGGUUUAGACUUUUUAGCUAAUGCAUUAUAAAUGAUGAGAACUCACAGUGUCGUUUUCCCAGGCAGGUCAUAUUGAUCCUCUCUUGUAACAAUAUCCUUUUUUGCAAAACUUUGUUUUUUAUGCCAUAUUAUUGACACACGGAUUUUGCAAGAUGAAUAUUGAUGCUGCAGGUCCUUUUCCAUUCUUUAAAGUGCAGCUAACCAUUUUAUUUUAAUCUGAUGCUUUCAAUGCAUCAGUAAGUGUUGGUAACAAUGUAGAAUAUUUUCUAGAGAUGGGGAAAAUUAACCUGUACCAAGCAAUUUAUUGACGUUUAUAGAGAAGCAUGUGGCUGGAGCUGCAAACUCUGUUCUCCUCCUUGCAGACAGAAGGAUACCUCAGCCCCUGUGAUGGAAUGAAAGAAAGAUGGGAGCUGAUUCUAGUCCACAGAGAAGGGGAUGUGUCUCAGGCAAGUGAAACCAGAAACGAGGAGGAGACCUAAGUUAUAUUCUCAGAGAUCCAAGAAAGAAGUCAGAGCUGGAGAUCAGGGCAGCACAGGACUGCGAUGCAGCAAGAUCGACUACAGAAAUGUCUACAGAAUAUCUUAGUCCUAACAGGGAACAUGGACAA
rnacentral:lncRNA from 13 species